CCUACGGGCCGCACCAGUGGGGAAUGUUGCACAAUGGGCGCAAGCCUGAUGCAGCCAUGCCGCGUGUAUGAAGAGGGCCUUCAGGUUGUAAAGUACUUUCAGCGGGGAGGAAGGUGUUGUGGUUAAUAACCGCAGCAAUUGACGUUACCCGCAGAAGAAGCACCGGCUAACUCCGUGCCAGCAGCCGCGGUAAUACGGAGGGUGCAAGCGUUAAUCGGAAUUACUGGGCGUAAAGCGCACGCAGGCGGUCUGUCAAGUCGGAUGUGAAAUCCCCGGGCUCAACCUGGGAACUGCAUUCGAAACUGGCAGGCUAGAGUCUUGUAGAGGGGGGUAGAAUUCCAGGUGUAGCGGUGAAAUGCGUAGAGAUCUGGAGGAAUACCGGUGCGAAGGCGGCCCCCUGGACAAAGACUGACGCUCAGGUGCGAAAGCGUGGGGAGCAAACAGGAUUAGAUACCCCCGUAGUC
rnacentral:rRNA from 1 species